CUAAGUCUACUUGCUAACCACAUAAAGUACUUGGUCAUCACACAUAAUCCUUGCCCAUCAAGCUUACCCACUUCCUACUUGGUUUGACCCAUGGAUCAAGGCUUCUUAUUGGGCUUGGUUAAUUAAUCUAACUACUUUCUUAAUGGGCUUGUGCUACAUAGUUUGGACUAAUGAUAUAUCAAACACUUGGGCUUGAUUGUCACAUUAUAUUGGACUUAUACUUAUUAUGCUAAUAAUCCUACAAGUCCAUUAUCUUUAGUUAACCAUCUUAACAAUUAUACCCCACGUAUAAUCUUCGUAUGCUAACUCGUAUACUAGUUCGUAAUAUACGUUAUCUCGUUCUUCAUACAUAAUAGUACAAUACGUCGUAUUAUACUUACAUUCAUCACUUCAUACAAUGUAUACACAUUAUACGAUCAUAACUUUCUUCCUUUACGCUUAAUAAACCUAACGUUCUCAAUUUAGGUCCACAUGCGAAAUAUUACGUUUUCCAUACUUAGAUUAUUAUUACAUAAUCAAUAUCGCCUUGAUAUUAUAACGUUACGUAUUUCUCGGAAGUUCAAAAAUAAUUCCCGAGCAAAAAUCGAUGAAUAGUGUUUUUUGAAAAAUUUCUCGAAAAGCUUUUAUUUU
rnacentral:lncRNA from 1 species